rnacentral:lncRNA from 1 species
CUCAUAACCAGAAUAUAAUCAUCCACAUCAGGAUAUCAGCAUUCACCCAACACUACUGUCCAAUCAACAGACGCUAUAAUCUCACCCAAAUUUUCUCAGUUGUGCCCUAAAUACAGUUUUUUUGAACUUUGUAAUCCAGGAUCCAAUCCAGGAUUUCCCAUUGCAUUAAUUGUCAUGUCUCCUAAGCUCUUUCAACUUCAAAGAGUUCCUCUUUUUUUCCCUAUUUUUCAUAACCUUAAGAGUUUUAAGAGCAUAAGCAUUUAUGAAGGAUGUGUUCACCUUUUUCCAUCUGAUGUGUUUCCACAUCCAGACUUAGGUCAUGUAUCUUUCACAAGAAAAUCACAGAAAUAAUGCUGUGGUCUUCCUAGGACAUCCCAGCAGGAGGCACAUGAUCAAGUUUGUGCCAGAUUUGUCCACCACAAAGUCAUCAUUCUUCCAAUUGUAAUUGAGAAGUAUUUCAUAUGAAGAUAUUAAUUACACAUACACAUGAAUGCAUAUUUAUAUGUAACAUACAUACAAAAUAUUAUUUCAAUGUCUAACCAAUAUAAAAGUUAUUAAUUAGAUAUGUUUAAUUUUAUUUCCUACUAAGUCUUCAAAAUCUGGUGUGUGUUUUACCCUGACAGCACAUCUCAGUCCAGCCUAGCCACAUUUCAAGUGUUCAAUAUUCACAUGGCUGUGGCUACCAUAUUUGUUAGGGCAGCACUAAAGCACUAAAGAACUUCUUCCUUGGAGAAGUUCUAAGCUUUCAAAAUGUUUGGCAAAUACAUUUUAUAAAAUUCUUCAGAAUCCAUAAAUAGGCAAUUACACAUUUAGUAAGCCAUAGAAUCCAACAUGGCAUUAAAAAUGAAUCCCUCGACAAAAAAGAAGGUAGGCAACAUUUUCUUCAGACCAAAUGGACAAAUCAAUUAUGAUUACCUCACAUGCCCAUUAUUAUUUAUUAACAUCUUUCAUUAAUACCCCCAAACCCCAUCAACAGGUAAAUGAAUAAAUGCAUUGAGGCCUAUCUGAACAAUGUCCCAAUUCCUUACCAUUCUUACUUCUUUUGCAAGCAGAAAAGACUCAGUAUUAGCAAAGACUAUUCAGAUAGUUUGUUCUUAUGCCAGUAGUUGUAAUUUUCUGGAGGUCUAUGUGAUAUCAAUUAUGUACUUCAAUACCUCUCACAAGUACUUUUCCUGUUUGGCCAUUUUCUGCGGUAUAUCCAUGUUCCUAUUUUCUCUAUUCUUUUAUUUCUAUCCUAGACUUUUCUUUUAUCCUAUAAUUCUUUAUCCUAAAAAUAUUAAUUUAAGGAUAACGUCACAAAAUAUUAUAUUUCUUCAGAUGAUACUCCAAAUUGAUACUUAAUAUACAGAAAUGACUAUCAUGGACAUAACCCACAACAUGUGAAAUGUAUGGCUCAUUCUACUGACAUUAUAAAGGAAAGUUAAUGACAACUGAAUUUCUAGUCAUUUUCCACCCAACCAGUUGCUUAUAAAAUGUCAAGGAAUUGUAGAAAUGGUGCGAGAACUUUGGAUGUGGAACGUGGAGGAGGAGGAACACGAAGUGGGGAUCUGCACUUGGGGUGGUCAGCACUGCGGAUGCCCAGCAAAGUCACUGCCUGGUCCACAUCCCGGAGGGGUCUCUGCGCCUCAGUCGGCAUCGCAGCUGAUGGUGAAACUUUUGGUGUGGCAGAAGAGUGUCCACAAACUUCGGAAGUUGCUAGAGAAAACUGAAAACUACUAGUUUUGAAAGCCUCACUUCUGCCAAUGGAAGCACAUUCCAGCAUGUCGCCAACGCAAUCCACUUUCCACCACUUUCACAAAAAACGUUACUGCACAAUUAUACUAUCCUACCCUUAUAUACUUUUUGUGUGUGUGUGUACUUGUAUGUAUGU